CAGAGGGGGCAAGCGUUAUUCGGAAUUAUUGGGCGUAAAGGGCGCGUAGGCGGCCUGGCAAGUGGAAGGUGAAAUCCCUCGGCUUAACCGAGGAACUGCCUCCCAAACUGCUUGGCUUGAGACCGGGAGAGGUGAGUGGAAUUCCCAGUGUAGCGGUGAAAUGCGUAGAUAUUGGGAGGAACACCAGUGGCGAAGGCGGCUCACUGGACCGGUACUGACGCUGAUGCGCGAAAGCGUGGGGAGCAAACGGGAUUAGAUACCCCGGUAGUCCACGCCGUAAACGAUGAAUGCUUGGUGUAGCGGGUAUCGACCCCUGCUGUGCCGAAGUCAACACAUUAAGCAUUCCGCCUGGGGAGUACGGUCGCAAGGCUG
rnacentral:rRNA from 1 species